AUUUUUGUAAUAUUGAAUUUGCAAGACCUGCUUGUACGGGACCAAAGCUGUUAGCUAAUCUUUGCUCCUCUGGCUAGUUCGCUCACUUUCCCCUUUUAUGAAUAUUUACAUUCAGACGGCUUCAUGAAUUAUUGGCUGACUUGAUUACCUACAUUCCUUUUUCUGUGCAUGGAAGAUAAAGAAGUCUGUGGGUAUGCAGGUAAUGUUAUCCACUUUCUGUGAUUGAGUUCAAAACUUAAUAUCAAUAUAGAAUUUCUUUAUUUUAUAUUGAUGUCACGUUUUGGUUGUAUAUGAUCAUGAACAUUCUGAAUAUACUGGUCCUCAUCUUUCUGGGAGGAAAUUCUCGUCUUGAUUAUUGUGUUGUUGCUCACCAUGCCCUUCAAAUUCAUUGGAGGGCAUGUCCACUCUUUCGCUUUGGGAUGAGAUUUGUAUGAGUACGAAAGGCUCCAACCAAAGCAAGACUUAGACUUAUGAUGGGCGUUACUUGGAGAUGUUACGGGGAAAGUAAAGUUUUUAGGUGACAUUAUUUGUAGAGAGCUGGGUUUAUUUUAGUAUGUUUAAUUGUAAAUGUAUUUAUACAUUUAAGUAUAUGCUUGUAUUUUAAAUUAUUA